UGCACAUGAACCCCCGCCUGGGCGAGGGCGCCCUGGUGCGCAACAGCUUCCUGGGGGGCCAGUGGGGGUCCGAGGAGCGCGAGCUGCCCGUCAACCCCCUGCAGCGCGACCACCACUUCGACCUCUCCAUCCGCUGCGGGAACCAGCGCUUCAAGGUGUUCGCCCAGGGGCAGCCGCUCUUCACCUUCGCCCACCGGGUGCCGCCCGGGCCCCACGUCGACACCCUGGAGGUGGAGGGCGACGUCGUCCUCUCCUACGUCCACUUCUGAGCCCCCCCAGCAGCCCCACGGCGCAGCCCCCAGCCAGCCCCAGAGCUCGCCCCAGCCCCAGGGUUCACCCCCUAGCCAGCCCCACAGUUCAGCCCAUAGCCAGCCCCAUAGCUCACCCCAGCCCCAUAGAGCAGCCCAGAAUCAGCCCCGCAGCCAGCCCCAUACCUGGCCCCAUAGCCAGGCACACAGCUCACCCCAUAGCCGGCCCCAUAGCUCACCCCAUAGGGUGUCACAUCACCUGCCCCAUAGCCAGCCCCACAGCUUGCCCUAUAGCACAGUCCAUAGCCUGCCCCAUAGCCCACCCCAUAGCCAGCUCCAUAGCUCACCCCAUAGCCGGC
rnacentral:lncRNA from 1 species